UUGCAAGAUGAGAAACUAUACAGACCUGUUCUGACACCCUCCGGGGUAUGGAGAACAACAUAUAUUGCGUUAUCUUUCUGACC
rnacentral:snoRNA from 1 species